rnacentral:rRNA from 1 species
CCUAUGGGGUGCANCAGGCGAGAAAACUUUGCAAUGUGCGAAAGCACGACAAGGUUAAUCCGAGUGGUUUAUGCUAAAGGAACCUUUUGUUAGUGCCUAGAANCANUUAGANGCANGAAGGGCNGGGCAAAAUGUGG